rnacentral:rRNA from 1 species
AGAGUUUGAUCCUGGCUCAGGACGAACGCUGGCGGCGUGCUUAACACAUGCAAGUCGAGCGGUAAGGCCCUUCGGGGUACACGAGCGGCGAACGGGUGAGUAACACGUGGGUGACCUGCCCCCUACUCUGGGAUAAGCCUGGGAAACUGGGUCUAAUACCGGAUAUGACUGCUGGUUGCAUGACUGGUGGUGGAAAGUGUGUUCUUGAUUGAGCACCUCGGUGGGGGAUGGGCCCGCGGCCUAUCAGCUUGUUGGUGGGGUGAUGGCCUACCAAGGCGACGACGGGUAGCCGGCCUGAGAGGGCGACCGGCCACACUGGGACUGAGACACGGCCCAGACUCCUACGGGAGGCAGCAGUGGGGAAUAUUGCGCAAUGGGCGGAAGCCUGACGCAGCGACGCCGCGUGGGGGAUGACGGCCUUCGGGUUGUAAACCUCUUUCGGCCCCGACGAAGCGUGAGUGACGGUAGGGGUAGAAGAAGCACCGGCCAACUACGUGCCAGCAGCCGCGGUAACACGUAGGGUGCGAGCGUUGUCCGGAAUUAUUGGGCGUAAAGAGCUCGUAGGCGGUGUGUCGCGUCGGCCGUGAAAACCUGCAGCUUAACUGUGGGCUUGCGGUCGAUACGGGCAUCACUGGAGUUCGGCAGGGGAGACUGGAAUUCCUGGUGUAGCGGUGAAAUGCGCAGAUAUCAGGAGGAACACCGGUGGCGAAGGCGGGUCUCUGGGCCGAUACUGACGCUGAGGAGCGAAAGCGUGGGGAGCGAACAGGAUUAGAUACCCUGGUAGUCCACGCCGUAAACGUUGGGCGCUAGGUGUGGGGGCCAUUCCACGGUCUCUGUGCCGUAGCUAACGCAUUAAGCGCCCCGCCUGGGGAGUACGGCCGCAAGGCUAAAACUCAAAGGAAUUGACGG